GCCAGCAGCCAUGUCACCCUGCAAUUCACAUCUGGCUACCCCCUGAAGCUCAGCAGGUGUGAGCCUGGUCAGUACCUGGAUGGGAGACUCCUGGGAAAGCUAAGGUUACUGCUGGAA
rnacentral:rRNA from 1 species